AACGAACGCUGGCGGCAGGCUUAACACAUGCAAGUCGAGCGCCCCGCAAGGGGAGCGGCAGACGGGUGAGUAACGCGUGGGAAUCUACCCAUCUCUACGGAAUAACGCAUGGAAACGUGUGCUAAUACCGUAUACGUCCUUCGGGAGAAAGAUUUAUCGGAGAUGGAUGAGCCCGCGUUGGAUUAGCUAGUUGGUGGGGUAAAGGCCUACCAAGGCGACGAUCCAUAGCUGGUCUGAGAGGAUGAUCAGCCACACUGGGACUGAGACACGGCCCAGACUCCUACGGGAGGCAGCAGUGGGGAAUAUUGGACAAUGGGCGCAAGCCUGAUCCAGCCAUGCCGCGUGAGUGAUGAAGGCCCUAGGGUUGUAAAGCUCUUUCACCGGUGAAGAUAGUGACGGUAACCGGAGAAGAAGCCCCAGCUGACUUCGUGCGAGCCGCCGCCGUAAGAC
rnacentral:rRNA from 1 species